rnacentral:rRNA from 1 species
ACUUUAAAAUCAUCGGCCACUCCACAAACAACCCUAAACCUACUAGGACCACCACUCUCAAAUACUGGCCCACAUUUUUCGGUUGGGGCGACCUUGGAGAAAAACAAAUCCUCCAAAAACAAGACCACACCUCUUAACCUAGAGCAACACCUCCACGUGCUAACAGCAACCAGACCCAAUACAAUUGAUUAAUGAACCAAGCUACCCCAGGGAUAACAGCGCAAUCUCCUUCAAGAGCCCAUAUCGACAAGGAGGUU